GGUAUGUCAAAAAUGAGUGCCUUUGUGUUUGUUUGGAAGGUGCAAGUGCCAUGGCCAAAAUUUAAGUAAUCAAGAAAUACGUGCCACCGGAUCUACAGAAUAUGUCUCGGCGCAGCUGAGACUUGGUGCACGAAUCAAUCGACUGUUUACUAUGGGAAAGGCGAUUGCGAGUUCGUCAUGCAAAGAUACAACUUACAAAAGCAGCUGAACAUCAACGUCAAAAAUAUCUCGUGAAUUCUUUUCUUGGUUGAUGGAAUCUUUAGCUGUUUUAUGAUUUGGACCCCUUCGGUGACCAUGUGCGACGGGUGAUGACCUGGGACGGGCAGAUUCGGCUGGAUGCCCUAAGGUCGCCGAACUGGCGAUAAGAUAGUGCGUAGGCUAUGCCGCCUAAAACCCAUGGAGCAGUUCAACUGAGUUGUUUGUCUUGAAACGGAAAGAUUUAAUAAAUUUGUAGAAAUGUUUGUUUUA